GCUUACCAUGCAAGUCGAGCGGUAAGGCCCUUCGGGGUACACGAGCGGCGAACGGGUGAGUAACACGUGAGCAACCUACCCUCAACUUCGGGAUAAGCCUCGGAAACGGGGUCUAAUACCGGAUAUCACCUUCUGCUUCAUGGCGGGGGGUUGAAAGUUCUGGCGGUUGGGGAUGGGCUCGCGGCCUAUCAGCUUGUUGGUGGGGUAAUGGCCUACCAAGGCGUCGACGGGUAGCCGGCCUGAGAGGGCGACCGGCCACACUGGGACUGAGACACGGCCCAGACUCCUACGGGAGGCAGCAGUGGGGAAUAUUGCGCAAUGGGCGAAAGCCUGACGCAGCAACGCCGCGUGAGGGAUGACGGCCUUCGGGUUGUAAACCUCUUUCAGCAGGGACGAAGCGAGAGUGACGGUACCUGCAGAAGAAGGACCGGCCAACUACGUGCCAGCAGCCGCGGUAAUACGUAGGGUCCGAGCGUUGUCCGGAAUUAUUGGGCGUAAAGGGCUCGUAGGCGGUUCGUCACGUCGGGAGUGAAAACUCGGAGCUUAACUCCGAGCCUGCUUCCGAUACGGGCAGACUAGAGGUAGGCAGGGGAGAGCGGAACUCCUGGUGUAGCGGUGGAAUGCGCAGAUAUCAGGAAGAACACCGGUGGCGAAGGCGGCUCUCUGGGCCUUACCUGACGCUGAGGAGCGAAAGCGUGGGUAGCGAACAGGAUUAGAUACCCUGGUAGUCCACGCCGUAACGUUGGGCGCUAGGUGUGGGGGACAUUCCACGUCCUCCGUGCCGCAGCUAACGCAUUAAGCG
rnacentral:rRNA from 1 species